AUUGAACGCUGGCGGCAGGCCUAACACAUGCAAGUCGAGCGGAUGAAGGGAGCUUGCUCCUGGAUUCAGCGGCGGACGGGUGAGUAAUGCCUAGGAAUCUGCCUGGUAGUGGGGGAUAACGUCCGGAAACGGGCGCUAAUACCGCAUACGUCCUGAGGGAGAAAGUGGGGGAUCUUCGGACCUCACGCUAUCAGAUGAGCCUAGGUCGGAUUAGCUAGUUGGUGGGGUAAAGGCCUACCAAGGCGACGAUCCGUAACUGGUCUGAGAGGAUGAUCAGUCACACUGGAACUGAGACACGGUCCAGACUCCUGCGGGAGGCAGCAGUGGGGAAUAUUGGACAAUGGGCGAAAGCCUGAUCCAGCCGUGCCGCGUGUGUGAAGAAGGUCUUCGGAUUGUAAAGCCCUUUAAGUUGGGAGGAAGGGCAGUAAGUUAAUACCUUGCUGUUUUGACGUUACCAACAGAAUAAGCACCGGCUAACUUCGUG
rnacentral:rRNA from 1 species